AGCUCACAAGGGUCCCCAGGGACAGGGUGAGGUCGGGAGCUGAAAAGGCUGCAGUCUUUAUCUCUCCUUGCCUUUCGUGACUGGAGUACUGAGAGAGGCUGUAGACCGUCUUGAAAGGUUGCAGUAGGAAGAACUAGAAAGGGACGGGAAAAUGCGUCUCGGGAAGUCAGAUGUGCAGAGGUGUCGCGGCAGCGGGAGUCCAUGUCAUCUGAUCUAGAGCGGCUCUCCCCGCCCAGGCUGGCCUGAGACUAGGUAGCCACAGGGGAUGCUACAGGGUGGGUCUUGGGAUCGCCCCCUCCCUUUGGGCAGCCCAAGCCUCACCGUCACUUCUUGGUGGAGUUGUGGGGCGUCGCGACCAGACAAGAGUGGGUGAUGCUUCCUCUGAUGUCCAGACUGCCCCUUGUUCCUGCACCUGCGCGAUCCACCUCGGAACUACCACUGAGAUCCUGUGAGUCGGGAGAGGGGCGCCAGCCGGGCUGCUGGCUGGUAGUCCCGCCCGGGUUCCAAGAGGCCGCCCCUCCAGCCCGCCUCUGCCCCGCCCGCCACUGCGGAGGGGGCUGCGGCUCAGUUCCUUCGGGCACCGCACCGCCUCCGCGCGUCAGCUCAGGCCGGCAGAGCCAGGCAAGAGACCGCAGUGCAGAGAGCCAGUACCCCAGCCACUGCACGACCCCCACCAACGGCACAGUGAAGCUGAGCGCCCCCUCUCCAUCCUUCUGGAGGAUCUUGAGGGAAGAGUCUGGGAACCCCGGGAAGUGAGCGAAGUAAGUCUGUGGGCUUGUGAGAUCGUGGCUCAGUGAGUAAAGGCAUUUGCCACCAUGCCCGGAUAACCUGAGAACUGUCUCCAGAACCUGCAUGGAAGAAGGCUGUGUAUGAUGGCAUUAUGUGCCCCUCCCCCACAAAUAUGCUCCCAAAAUAAAUACCAUGUAACUUUAAAACUU